UACGGAGGGUGCGAGCGUUGUCCGGAAUCAUUGGGCGUAAAGGGCGCGUAGGUGGCGCGGCAAGCGUGCGGUGAAAGCUCGGGGCUCAACCCCGAGUCGGCCGUGCGAACUGCUGGGCUUGAGCACUGUAGAGGCAGGCGGAAUUCCGGGUGUAGCGGUGGAAUGCGUAGAGAUCCGGAAGAACACCGGUGGCGAAGGCGGGCCUGCUGGGCAGUAGCUGACGACUGAGGCGCGACAGCGUGGGGAGCAACAGG
rnacentral:rRNA from 1 species